rnacentral:rRNA from 1 species
ACCAGACUCCUACGGGAGGCAGCAGUGGGGAAUAUUGGGCAAUGGGCGCAAGCCUGACCCAGCAACGCCGCGUGAAGGAAGAAGGCUUUCGGGUUGUAAACUUCUUUUCUCAGGGACGAAGCAAGUGACGGUACCUGAGGAAUAAGCCACGGCUAACUACGUGCCAGCAGCCGCGGUAAUACGUAGGUGGCAAGCGUUAUCCGGAUUUACUGGGUGUAAAGGGCGUGUAGGCGGGGACGCAAGUCAGAUGUGAAAACCACGGGCUCAACCUGUGGCCUGCAUUUGAAACUGUUUCCCUUGAGUGUCGGAGAGGUAAUCGGAAUUCCUUGUGUAGCGGUGAAAUGCGUAGAUAUAAGGAAGAACACCAGUGGCGAAGGCGGAUUACUGGACGAUAACUGACGGUGAGGCGCGAAAGCGUGGGGAGCAAACAGGAUUAGAUACCCCAGUA